rnacentral:rRNA from 1 species
AGGGAUGACGGCCUUCGGGUUGUAAACCUCUUUCAGUAGGGAAGAAGCGAGAGUGACGGUACCUGCAGAAGAAGCGCCGGCUAACUACGUGCCAGCAGCCGCGGUAAUACGUAGGGCGCAAGCGUUAUCCGGAUUUAUUGGGCGUAAAGAGCUCGUAGGCGGUUUGUCGCGUCUGCCGUGAAAGUCCGAGGCUCAACCUCGGAUCUGCGGUGGGUACGGGCAGACUAGAGUGAUGUAGGGGAGACUGGAAUUCCUGGUGUAGCGGUGAAAUGCGCAGAUAUCAGGAGGAACACCGAUGGCGAAGGCAGGUCUCUGGGCAUUUACUGACGCUGAGGAGCGAAAGCAUGGGGAGCGAACAGGAUUAGAUACCCUGGUAGUCCAUGCCGUAAACGUUGGGCACUAGGUGUGGGGGACAUUCCACGUUUUCCGCGCCGUAGCUAACGCAUUAAGUGCCCCGCCUGGGGAGUACGGCCGCAAGGCUAAAACUCAAAGGAAUUGACGGGGGCCCGCACAAGCGGCGGAGCAUGCGGAUUAAUUCGAUGCAACGCGAAGAACCUUACCAAGGCUUGACAUGUGCCAGACCGGAUCAGAGAUGGUCUUUCCCUUCGGGGCUGGUUCACAGGUGGUGCAUGGUUGUCGUCAGCUCGUGUCGUGAGAUGUUGGGUUAAGUCCCGCAACGAGCGCAACCCUCGUUCCAUGUUGCCAGCACGUAGUGGUGGGGACUCAUGGGAGACUGCCGGGGUCAACUCGGAGGAAGGUGGGGAUGACGUCAAAUCAUCAUGCCCCUUAUGUCUUGGGCUUCACGCAUGCUACAAUGGCCGGUACAAUGGGUUGCGAUACUGUGAGGUGGAGCUAAUCCCUAAAAGCCGGUCUCAGUUCGGAUUGGGGUCUGCAACUCGACCCCAUGAAGUCGGAGUCGCUAGUAAUCGCAGAUCAGCAACGCUGCGGUGAAUACGUUCCCGGGCCUUGUACACACCGCCCGUCAAGUCACGAAAGUUGGUAAC